UUUUUUUUUUCUAAAGAGGUCAUACUUGUCUUACUAGACAUAAUUAUAAUUACACUUGGACUAAAGACAAUUCAGAUCAUCUUCUUUGACAACUGCAAUUCACCCUCAGAGAGGUCAGAGAGCAGUGGGUAUGGGCACCAACAGAGACCCUUCAAAGGGUUGGUCAUCAGAGAGAGGGAAGCAGAACUGUUGUCUCUAAUGAAAUCGGGGCCAUCAUCAUUGAUCAUGUGGUGAACAGAGGCCCUAUGGCAGAGGCUGCCAGAUUAGUUGAUCCAAAUCUAAAAAGAUCAACUGUCAAUUCUAUCAUCCAAACCAAGGGUUUGGCCAAGAAAACCGGGAAUGGUGGUCGUGGCCCGUGUGCUGACCGACCAGCAAGAGUGUGCAGUGGUG